rnacentral:snRNA from 1 species
AAACUUACCUGGCUGGGGGCGUCUCGCGAUCAAGGAGGCGAGAAUCCCAUGGUGAGGCCCACACAUUGCACUUUAGGGAGGGCUGAUCCGUGUGGCAGCUUCGGAUUGAAGUUAGCCAAUUUUUGUGUGAGGGCUGCGUUCGCGCGGCCCUGG